GACGAACGCUGGCGGCGUGCUUAACACAUGCAAGUCGAACGGAAAGGCCCUGAUUUUGUCGGGUGCCCGAGUGGCGAAAGGGUGAGUAACAAGUGAGUAAUCAGCCCUUGAUAUCGGGACAACUUCAGGAAAAUGGGGCUAAUACAGGACAGGAACUACUGCUGAAUGGUGGGGGUCGGCAAGUCUCGGUGGUUGGGUAUGGACUCGAGGAUGAUCGGCUUGUUGGUGGGGUAGUGGCUUACCAAGGCACUGACGAGUAGCCGGACUGGGCGGGUGGCCGGACAGGUUGGGACUGGGAUACGGCCCGGCCUCCUACGGGAGGCGACGGUGGAGAGUAGAACACUAUGGGCGGAGGCCUGAUGUAACAACGCCGCGUGCGGUAUGACGGGCAUCGUGUUGUAAUCCGCUUUCGCCUGAGACGAGGCGAUAGUGACGGUAAUGGGUAAAGAAGCACCGGCUAACUACGUG
rnacentral:rRNA from 1 species